AGAGCGGCGCACGGGUGCGGAACACGUGUGCAACCUGCCUUUAUCUGGGGGAUAGCCUUUCGAAAGGAAGAUUAAUACCCCAUAAUAUAUUGAGUGGCAUCACUUGAUAUUGAAAACUCCGGUGGAUAGAGAUGGGCACGCGCAAGAUUAGAUAGUUGGUGAGGUAACGGCUCACCAAGUCAAUGAUCUUUAGGGGGCCUGAGAGGGUGAUCCCCCACACUGGUACUGAGACACGGACCAGACUCCUACGGGAGGCAGCAGUGAGGAAUAUUGGACAAUGGGUGAGAGCCUGAUCCAGCCAUCCCGCGUGAAGGACGACUGCCCUAUGGGUUGUAAACUUCUUUUAUACUGGGAUAAACCUACCCUCGUGAGGGUAGCUGAAGGUACAGUAUGAAUAAGCACCGGCUAACUCCGUGCCAGCAGCCGCGGUAAUACGGAGGGUGCAAGCGUUAUCCGGAUUUAUUGGGUUUAAAGGGUCCGUAGGCGGACUCGUAAGUCAGUGGUGAAAUCUCAUAGCUUAACUAUGAAACUGCCAUUGAUACUGCGGGUCUUGAGUAAAGUAGAAGUGGCUGGAAUAAGUAGUGUAGCGGUGAAAUGCAUAGAUAUUACUUAGAACACCAAUUGCGAAGGCAGGUCACUAUGUUUUAACUGACGCUGAUGGACGAAAGCGUGGGGAGCGAACAGGAUUAGAUACCCUGGUAGUCCACGCCGUAAACGAUGCUAACUCGUUUUUGGGUUUUCGGAUUCAGAGACUAAGCGAAAGUGAUAAGUUAGCCACCUGGGGAGUACGUUCGCAAGAAUGAAACUCAAAGGAAUUGACGGGGGCCCGCACAAGCGGUGGAUUAUGUGGUUUAAUUCGAUGAUACGCGAGGAACCUUACCAAGGCUUAAAUGGGAAUUGACAGGUUUAGAAAUAGAUCCUUCUUCGGACAAUUUUCAAGGUGCUGCAUGGUUGUCGUCAGCUCGUGCCGUGAGGUGUUAGGUUAAGUCCUGCAACGAGCGCAACCCCUGUCACUAGUUGCCAUCAUUCAGUUGGGGACUCUAGUGAGACUGCCUACGCAAGUAGAGAGGAAGGUGGGGAUGACGUCAAAUCAUCACGGCCCUUACGCCUUGGGCCACACACGUAAUACAAUGGCCGGUACAGAGGGCAGCUACUAUGCGAAUAGAUGCGAAUCUCGAAAGCCGGUCUCAGUUCGGAUUGGAGU
rnacentral:rRNA from 1 species